GAUGAACGCUGGCGGUGUGCCUAAUACAUGCAAGUCGAGCGAACAGACGAGGAGCUUACUCCUCUGACGUUAGCGGCGGACGGGUGAGUAACACGUGGAUAACCUACCUAUAAGACUGGGAUAACUUCGGGAAACCGGAGCUAAUACCGGAUAACAUGUUGAACCGCAUGGUUCAACAGUGAAAGACGGUCUUGCUGUCACUUAUAGAUGGGUCCGCGUCGCAUUAGCUAGUUGGUAAGGUAACGGCUUACCAAGGCAACGAUGCGUAGCCGACCUGAGAGGGUGAUCGGCCACACUGGAACUGAGACACGGUCCAGACUCCUACGGGAGGCAGCAGUAGGGAAUCUUCCGCAAUGGGCGAAAGCCUGACGGAGCAACGCCGCGUGAGUGAAGAAGGUCUUCGGAUCGUAAAACUCUGUUAUUAGGGAAGAACAAAUGUGUAAGUAACUAUGCACGUCUUGACGGUACCUAAUCAGAAAGCCACGGCUAACUACGUG
rnacentral:rRNA from 1 species